rnacentral:rRNA from 1 species
CGGGACACGUGGUAUCCUGUCUGAAUAUGGGGGGACCAUCCUCCAAGGCUAAAUACUCCUGACUGACCGAUAGUGAACCAGUACCGUGAGGGAAAGGCGAAAAGAACCCCGGCGAGGGGAGUGAAAAAGAACCUGAAACCGUGUACGUACAAGCAGUGGGAGCACGCUUCGGCGUGUGACUGCGUACCUUUUGUAUAAUGGGUCAGCGACUUAUAUUCUGUAGCAAGGUUAACCGAAUAGGGGAGCCGAAGGGAAACCGAGUCUUAACUGGGCGUUAAGUUGCAGGGUAUAGACCCGAAACCCGGUGAUCUAGCCAUGGGCAGGUUGAAGGUUGGGUAACACUAACUGGAGGACCGAACCGACUAAUGUUGAAAAAUUAGCGGAUGACUUGUGGCUGGGGGUGAAAGGCCAAUCAAACCGGGAGAUAGCUGGUUCUCCCCGAAAGCUAUUUAGGUAGCGCCUCGUGAAUUCAUCUCCGGGGGUAGAGCACUGUUUCGGCAAGGGGGUCAUCCCGACUUACCAACCCGAUGCAAACUGCGAAUACCGGAGAAUGUUAUCACGGGAGACACACGGCGGGUGCUAACGUCCGUCGUGAAGAGGGAAACAACCCAGACCGCCAGCUAAGGUCCCAAAGUCAUGGUUAAGUGGGAAACGAUGUGGGAAGGCCCAGACAGCCAGGAUGUUGGCUUAGAAGCAGCCAUCAUUUAAAGAAAGCGUAAUAGCUCACUGGUCGAGUCGGCCUGCGCGGAAGAUGUAACGGGGCUAAACCAUGCACCGAAGCUGCGGCAGCGACACUAUGUGUUGUUGGGUAGGGGAGCGUUCUGUAAGCCUGUGAAGGUGGCCUGUGAGGGUUGCUGGAGGUAUCAGAAGUGCGAAUGCUGACAUAAGUAACGAUAAAGCGGGUGAAAAGCCCGCUCGCCGGAAGACCAAGGGUUCCUGUCCAACGUUAAUCGGGGCAGGGUGAGUCGACCCCUAAGGCGAGGCCGAAAGGCGUAGUCGAUGGGAAACAGGUUAAUAUUCCUGUACUUGGUGUUACUGCGAAGGGGGGACGGAGAAGGCUAUGUUGGCCGGGCGACGGUUGUCCCGGUUUAAGCGUGUAGGCUGGUUUUCCAGGCAAAUCCGGAAAACCAAGGCUGAGGCGUGAUGACGAGGCACUACGGUGCUGAAGCAACAAAUGCCCUGCUUCCAGGAAAAGCCUCUAAGCAUCAGGUAACAUCAAAUCGUACCCCAAACCGACACAGGUGGUCAGGUAGAGAAUACCAAGGCGCUUGAGAGAACUCGGGUGAAGGAACUAGGCAAAAUGGUGCCGUAACUUCGGGAGAAGGCACGCUGAUAUGUAGGUGAAGCGACUUGCUC